GACGUAGGGCGCGAGCGUUGUCCGGAUUUAUUGGGCGUAAAGAGCUCGUAGGCGGCUUGUCGCGUCGACCGUGAAAACUUGGGGCUCAACCCCAAGCCUGCGGUCGAUACGGGCAGGCUAGAGUUCGGUAGGGGAGACUGGAAUUCCUGGUGUAGCGGUGAAAUGCGCAGAUAUCAGGAGGAACACCGGUGGCGAAGGCGGGUCUCUGGGCCGACACUGACGCUGAGGAGCGAAAGCGUGGGGAGCGAACAGG
rnacentral:rRNA from 1 species